AGUGAACGCUGGCGGUAGGCCUAACACAUGCAAGUCGAACGGCAGCACAGUAAGAGCUUGCUCUUACGGGUGGCGAGUGGCGGACGGGUGAGGAAUACAUCGGAAUCUACUUUUUCGUGGGGGAUAACGUAGGGAAACUUACGCUAAUACCGCAUACGACCUACGGGGGAAAGCAGGGGAUCUUCGCACCUUGCGCGAUUGAAUGAGCCGAUGUCGGAUUAGCUAGUUGGCGGGGUAAAGACCCAGCAAGGCGACGAUCCGUAGCUGGUGUGAGAGGAUGAUAGGCGACACUGGAAGUUAGACACGGUCCAUGCUCCUACGGGACGGAGCAGUGUGGAACAUGAGACAGUGGGCGCAAGCCUGAUCCAGCCAUACCGCGUGGGUGAAGAAGGCCUUCGGGUUGGAAAGCCCGUUUGUUGGGAAAGAAAAGCAGCAGGUUAAGACCCCGCGGUUGUGACGGUACCCAAAGAAUAAGCACCGGCUAACUUCGUG
rnacentral:rRNA from 1 species